rnacentral:rRNA from 1 species
UGGGGAAUUUUGGACAAUGGGCGCAAGCCUGAUCCAGCCAUGCCGCGUGAGUGAAGAAGGCCUUCGGGUUGUAAAGCUCUUUCGGACGGGAAGAAAUGGCGGGCUCUAACAUAGCCUGUCGAUGACGGUACCGUAAGAAGAAGCACCGGCUAACUACGUGCCAGCAGCCGCGGUAAUACGUAGGGUGCGAGCGUUAAUCGGAAUUACUGGGCGUAAAGCGUGCGCAGGCGAUUUUGUAAGACAGAUGUGAAAUCCCCGGGCUUAACCUCGGAAUUGCCCUCAAAACUGCACGUCUUGAGACCGAGAGAGGUAAGGGGAAUUCCUAGUGUAGAGGUGAAAUUCGUAGAUAUUAGGAAGAACACCAGUGGCGAAGGCGCCUUACUGGCUCGGUACUGACGCUGAGGUACGAAAGCGUGGGGAGCAAACA